CUACGGGGGGCUGCAGUGGGGAAUAUUGCACAAUGGAGGAAACUCUGAUGCAGCAACGCCGCGUGGAGGAUGACACUUUUCGGAGCGUAAACUCCUUUUAUAUAGGAAGAAGAUGACGGUACUAUAUGAAUAAGCGCCGGCUAACUCCGUGCCAGUAGCCGCGGUAAUACGGAGGGCGCAAGCGUUACUCGGAAUCACUGGGCGUAAAGAGCGUGUAGGCGGAUUAAAAAGUCAGAAGUGAAAUCCUAUAGCUUAACUAUAGAACUGCUUCUGAAACUCUUAAUCUAGAAUAUGGGAGAGGUAGAUGGAAUUUCUGGUGUAGGGGUAAAAUCCGUAGAGAUCAGAAGGAAUACCGAUUGCGAAGGCGAUCUACUAGAACAUUAUUGACGCUGAGACGCGAAAGCGUGGGGAGCAAACAGGAUUAGAUCCCCUGUAGUC
rnacentral:rRNA from 1 species